rnacentral:rRNA from 1 species
GACGAACGCUGGCGGCGUGCCUAAUACAUGCAAGUAGAACGCACAGUUUAUACCGUAGCUUGCUACACCAUAUACUGUGAGUUGCGAACGGGUGAGUAACGCGUAGGUAACCUGCCUGGUAGCGGGGGAUAACUAUUGGAAACGAUAGCUAAUACCGCAUAAUAUUCAUUAUUGCCUGAUAAUUGAUUGAAAGAUGCAAUUGCAUCACUACCAAAUGGACCUGCGUUGUAUUAGCUAGUAGGUGAGGUAACGGCUCACCUAGCCGAGGAUACAUAGCCGACCUGAGAGGGGGAGAGGCCACACUGGGACGGGAACACGGCCCAGAAUCCUACGGGAGGCAGAAGUAGGGAAUCUUCGGCAAUGGACGAAAGGCGGACCGAGCAACGCCGCGGGAGUGAAGAAGGUUUUCGGAUCGUAAAGCUCUGUUGUAAGAGAAGAACGGGUGGGAGAGUGGAAAGUGCACACUGUGACGGUAUCUGACCAGAAAGGGACGGCUAACUACGUG